UUGUCAAAGUGGCUGUGAUUUG
rnacentral:miRNA from 9 species